AAUCAUCUGAUGAGAAAAAAACUGCAACAAUAUGAUGGAAAUAUUCCGUGAUUCGCUGUAUUUAAGUCUCUGAUGAUU